rnacentral:rRNA from 1 species
GGAGGAAGAUUCCGUAGGUGAACCUGCGGAUAUGCAUAUCAAUAAGCGGAGGAAGAUUCCGUAUGUGCGCCUGCGGAUAUGCAUAUCAAUGAGGGGAGGAUGCUUCUGUAUGUGGGGAUGAGGAUUUGCAUAGCGAUGAGGGGGAUAUGUUUCUCAAUGUGCGGUGGAGGAUUCAGAGAAUGAUCAGGGGUAUAAGCCUACAUAGGAGCCCGUGAUAUUCCGCGAGGCAAGCCUGUUCGAGCGUCAUUUCACCACUCAAGCCUAGCUUGGUAUUGGGCGUCGCGUUUCCGCGCGCCUUAAAGUCUCCGGCUGAGCAGUUCGUCUCUAAGCGUUGUGGCAUAUAUUUCGCUGAAGAGUUCGGACGGCUUUUGANCGUUAAAUCUUUCUUAAGGUUGACCUCGGAUCAGGUAGGGAUACCCGCUGAACUUAAGCAUAUCAA